UACGGGGGGGGCAAGCGUUGUUCGGAAUUACUGGGCGUAAAGAGCGUGUAGGCGGCCAGAUAAGUCCGCUGUGAAAACUCGAGGCUCAACUUCGAGCUGUCGGCGGAAACUAUCUGGCUAGAGUCCGGAAGAGGAGAGUGGAAUUCCUGGUGUAGCGGUGAAAUGCGCAGAUAUCAGGAAGAACACCCGUGGCGAAGGCGGCUCUCUGGGACGGUACUGACGCUGAGACGCGAAAGCGUGGGAGCGAACAGG
rnacentral:rRNA from 1 species